CUUGGAGUGGAUAUAACUUUGCGUUUUUUCAACAUUGUUUUCCAUACGAAAGUAGGAGUUUAGUCACCGUAACACGAUAUCUGUGGGUAGCGCCAUAUCUCCACACCCGAACAGAUCAGUGAGAGCAUGGAGCAACAUUUAUAUUAUUCACAUCAGCAGAAUCCUCUAUCCAGUUCAUCUUGGAUUGUUAAUGUUUAUAGGUAUGGAAUGGUAUAGAUGCAUCAUGCCCACCUUGUCUGAGCUGACAGGGAUAAUCUUGGUAGUCUGCUCUCACAGUCAAGAUGUCAUAAUAAUUGAAGAUCCAGACAGUUGGGUGAUGAGGUAUGACACAUGGAGAGGAUGCCAUGAGACAUGAUAAUGCUGACAGGGAUAAUCUUGGUAGUUCGAUCUCACAGUCAAGAUGUCAUAACUAAUUGAAUAUCCAUACAGCUGGGUGAUGAGGCAUGACACAGGGAGAGGUUGCCAUGAGACAUGAUUAUGCUGACAGGGAUAAUCUUGGUAGUCUGCUCUCACAGUCAAGAUGUCAUAACUUAUUCAAUAUCCAGACAGUUGGGUGAUGAGGUAUGACACAGGGAGAGGUUGCCAUGAGACAUGAUUAUGCUGACAGGGAUAAUCUUGGUAGUCUGCUCUCACAGUCAAGAUGUCAUAACUAAUUGAAGAUCCAGACAGUUGGGUGAUGAGGUAUGACACAGGGAGAGGAUGCCAUGAGACAUGAUAAUGCUGAAAGGGGUAAUCUUGGUAGAGCGCGCUCACACUCAAGAUGUCAUAACUAAUUGAAGAUCCAUACAGCUGGGUGAUGAGGUAUGGACACAGGAAGAGGAUGCCAUCAGACAUGAUAAUGAGCCUGAGAUGUACGUCGUGGUUCCCCGAAAUCAAACGCAGAGGGAAUCCCCUCUACAGACACCUCGAAGGCUAUACAAGAGAGCAAUGCAUGUAAAUAUUACGAUCAUCAAGACAUCUUAGCUGUUUAUCUAGCAACCAUGGAAUACAACCAAGUAACUUGUUGUGUUCAACUGAAGAGAAGAGUCGGUGUAGUGGGGAUCAGCAUCGUACUGAGGAGGCACAGGCUGAGGUGGUUUGGUCAUGUGGAGAGAAAGGAGGAGGUCAAGAGGUGUACUGACAGAAUUGUUGGUUGCCCCACACCCUUGGCAGAGCUCCGUCUCAAAUGACAUGCAACUGUUUGGAUUCAAUGCAAGGGACGCA